rnacentral:rRNA from 1 species
GUGUCAGCAGCCGCGGUAAGACGAAGGUGGCAAGCGUUAUUCGGAUUUACUGGGCAUAAAGCGCGCGUAGGCGGCUUGGCAAGUCGGGGGUGAAAGCCCGCAGCUCAACUGCGGAACUGCCUUCGAUACUGCCGGGCUUGAGGGCGGGAGGGGUGAUUGGAACUCCAGGUGUAGCGGUGAAAUGCGUAGAUAUCUGGAGGAACACCGGAGGCGAAGGCGAAUCACUGGACCGCUUCUGACGCUGAGGCGCGAAAGCUAGGGGAGCAAACAGGAUUAGAAACCCCAGUAGUCC